rnacentral:lncRNA from 10 species
GGGGAAGCCAGCUGCAUGUCAUAUGGACAUUCAGGCAACCUAGGGUGUGAAUAAUGUGGCAAGGAAAUAAAAGGCCUGCUAGCAAAUGCUCAGUUGAGCUUGGUAAUGGGUCCUCUCCCAGCAUCUCCAGCCAAGAGCUUGACUGCAACCUCAUAUGAGAUUUUGAGCCAUAACCAUUCAGCUAAACUGCUUCUGGAUACCUGACCAUAGAAACUGUGAGAUUAUAAGAGAAGCAGAUCUUAGGGGGACAAGAGUACAUAUGAAACACAGCAGAGGAGUAGGAUAUGUCUUUGAAUGAAGAUGCCUGAGGGACUGAAUAAAGAACCUGGACAACUAAAGAAAAAAGACACCUAUGGAUCAGAAUUGAGACAAUUUCUUCAGAACUUCCAGUUUCCCAAGACGCAACAUUGAAUUCAAUCAGAGGUAAAGAUUCUGGACUAUUGGAUUAAAUGAGGAGGCAGGAGCUACUAUCUCUUGCAGUGUGAAACCAGGGCCGGGGAUGAAGAUAUGGACACAUCUCAGCUUUCCAGGGAUGCUGUGAUGUGGUGAAAUUAUGCCAUUCAUUAGAAGGUGAUACUGUCAUCAAUGUGAGAGGCCCAGGACUCUGCAGGGCCUGAAGAAAUCCUGGGCAAUGAGUCUGAGGGAAGUCUCUCAGAGCAGCUACUCUGAGAGAGUAAAGCCGCAGCCUUUGUGGGGUAUGAAAGCAGCGUUCUCAUGGAUAAGGCUUAUUUGAGACGAAGUGGAGGCCUUGUUUUGUCCACUUACCGCAAUGUCCACUGUCCCCAACUGCAGCAUGCCAACAGCAAAUGUGUUUAGUGGAUAUGUGCUUUGUAGCUAACAAGAAACAGUAACAUUUAUUUUUCCAUGCCUAGUUGCUUAACAAACGAUAUUCUAAAAGGGCACCACGUUUUAUGUGUGUUUACAUGAAAACAAAUCAAAUCAUGAACUGGUGGUCAGGGAGUUCUGGAAACAAUAAACAAGUUGACCAUGCAACUGACAGCUCCCCUCUGAAAUGCAGACACAGCUAAGUCCAGCAUGACUCGCUGAAGGCACAUGCAAAGAACAGGCGGGGCAGUUUGGUG